ACCUUAAAGUUUACCAAUGUACUUUUAAAGCUAACCGGAUUAUUUACCCAAUAUAUAAGGUGAUUUUUUUUUUCAUUUUCCGCGAAAUUCAGAAACCCUAACAGUUCUCUCUCACCGGCGAUAUCAAAGGCGAUUCGAAUUCCCACUAUUUCCGAACAAACCAUCGUUCUCAACGUCGGCUAUCUAUCUCACUUCAUUCUCACCGUUGUCGCCGCAGCUUCUUCUAACCCUAGCGCCGCCGAUUCCUCUAAACCCUAGCGCCCCCGCUUCCACUAUUUCCGAACAAACCGUCACCCUCGCCACCUUGCUCACCAACGUUCUCACCGCCGCUUCCUCUAAACACUAGCUAGCACCGCCGCUUCUUCUAAACCCUAGCGCCGCCGCUUCUUCUCUGUAAACCGUAGCGCCGUUUCUCUGUAAACCCUAACGCCGAUCUAUAACCACAAUGACGAGUACUCCAACUCCUUCUGCGACUAAUCAGACAAAAAGGAUGGAUAUUCCAGAACUCCCCCGUAGGUUAUACACAUUAGGGGAAGAGCCAGAACCCCAGCAUAGCAUUUCGUAUCAUUC